UUUGGGCCACCCUUUCCUUCCUGAGCCACUCAGGAAGCUCUGUUCCCAGGGAGCAGGUCUGAGAAGCAGUGGUGGAGUUCCCUGAGAUACUGUCAUUGCUCAGCCAGCAACAGCGGCACAGGAUUAGAGCACAGCCAGCCAGCGACUCACCUCCAUUUGAAGCCAUCCCCUUAGGCUGGGUGCUGAUCACCGCUGACAGUUUCCACAAUGAGAAAAGUCAAGGGCAGGACCCAGAGAGUGACCUGCCUCAACAGAUUCUCCUGAGUUCAGGCUGGAGUGCAAUGGCGUGAUCUCGGCUCACCGCAACC